rnacentral:lncRNA from 9 species
UGUAGCCGAUGUCGCACAAACCCCAGAUGUAGGAAAGCCUCCUUCCUUCUGGGAGGGAGGAAGCACUCUCCUGAGCGGGCAGCCUCCUGGGAGGGCCCGUGACUUCUCUGCCCGAAUCUGCAUCCUGGCUGGGCCGUCUCCCAGGAGCACAGAGAUUGAGGCGGUGGGCUUGAACUCCCUCCUUUGAGCCAGGUGAGAGUUGGCCCCCAUAUCCCAGCGGAACCAGCACCCCGGGAAGCGCAGGAAGGUCCAGCAAGCCCUUCCCCGGCCUCGGGAACAGUGGGCCGGGCUCAGCGGCUGAGUCGCGGCUACAGCAGCCACGCGCGGGAUCCAGCCGCGGAGAGGAGCAAACGGAAUCGGUUUCCCACGCUGUCCCUCUCCCUCCCCGAACCUUUUAAAACCUGCUCACGAAGUCCGGCGCCCAGUUUUCGCCCCUCUUGAGCCUGGCGUUCACGCGGUGCCCCAGUCACCAGCGCCGCCCGAGGAGGGGACCCUCGGCCGCCCGCACUCCCUGCCACCCGCCCGCGCACGCAGGGAGCAACUUGGUUCCCCUGAGCAUCCUGGCCCCGCGGCCUGGGCAGGGCUCCGCGCGGCAGAGGUGGCACCGUGGUCGCUCCGGAACGCCGCCCGCGUGGAUGCGACGGCCUCCUCCCGCUCCCGGUUCCGGCUCCCGGCCGGCGGGUCCCCGACAACAACGAACACGGCGAGCCGCCUGGCCUCCCCGGCUUCCGAGUCCCGGGGAUCUCUGGGUGGGAGCUCGCCCUCCCGGUCCCCAGGGGCGCCAGAGCGGAGCACACCGCCAGGCCGCCCGGGAACCGAGCGGACUCCCCACACCGGCUCGCCUUCGGAUCCACACCUCGUCUGCCGCGUCCUCGGGACUUGGUUCCGGUCCCCACCCCGCCGACCCCUUUAGUUCGGAAACCAAAUUUCGUUUUUGGUCCCCGGCUCCUCCGCAGGGGUCGCCGUGGAGAAGCUGCCACGGAGGGUUUCCGCUCCAAGCCUCAACUUGCCCAUCUGUGAACAGGGCCAGGGGAGCAGCGGAGCGUGAAGACCUGCGGCUUCCAGGGAAUCUCAUGGCCCCGCCCCACCCACCUCCCCACCAAGGGCCCCGUGCUCUGCCCAAGGCUGGGAGUGUGUUUGGUGCUCAGGGAAGGAAUAAUGAAUGA